GUAAUCACUUGUCUUCUAAAUAAAGACCUGUAUGAAUGGCUAAAUGAGGACAAACCUGUCUCUUAUAACCAAUCAGUGAAACUGAUCUGCCAGUACAAAAGCUAGCAUAAACACAUAAGACGAGAAGACCCUGUGGAGCUUAAAACGAACCACUAAUAACUUAUAGUGCAACGUCUUAAGUUGGGGCGACUUCGGAACAAAGCAAAACUUCCGAGCAUAGAUCCACAACAUCUUACCUAGGCCAACAAGCCAAAGUAUGACAUCGACCCGGCCAUGCCGAUCAACGAACCAAGUUACCCCAGGGAUAACAGCGCCAUCUUCUUCAAGAGUCCAUAUCGACAAGAAGGUUUACGACCUCGAUGUUGGAUCAGGACACCCAGGCGGUGCAGCCGCUGCCAACGGUUCGUUUGUUCAACGACUAACGUC
rnacentral:rRNA from 1 species